GGGGUUGUACUGGUUUCGAUUCAGGAUAGUGAUGGAGAACGAUGCAUGUAGCAGUUGAUCGAAAGGCUGCUCAACAAUUCGAUCAAGCCAUAACUGGCAAAGUUGUUAAGUUUGCUGCUGCUCCCGCAGUCGCAAUCGCUGCUUAACCGCCGAGUUUAAAACACCUUGCAAUCUUGUGUUUAAACUCGUAGAAGAAGGUUGCUAGUUUUCUAAUUUUCGAUUAGUUAGAAAAUAAAUUUUAAAUCGAUAGGAUAAAAAACCUUUUUUCAUUGUGGUUUUAAAUCUGAAAUGAGGCAACUCAAAUCAAUGGAAUAAACAUGUAGAUUCUUCUUUGUUUCAUCUUGAAGACAGG
rnacentral:tmRNA from 1 species